UACAGAGGUCUCAAGCGUUGUUCGGAUUCAUUGGGCGUAAAGGGUGCGUAGGUGGCGCGCUAAGUCAGGUGUGAAAUUUCGGAGCUUAACUCCGAAACUGCAUUCGAUACUGCCGUGCUUGAGGACUGGAGAGGAGACUGGAAUUUACGGUGUAGCGGUGAAAUGCGUAGAUAUCGUAAGGAAGACCAGUGGCGAAGGCGGGUCUCUGGACAGUUCCUGACGCUGAGGCACGAAGGUCAGGGGGAGCAAACGGGG
rnacentral:rRNA from 1 species